GCCGGGGUGGCGGAACUGGCAGACGCACAGGACUUAAAAUCCUGCGGUGAGUGAUCACCAUACCGGUUCGAUUCCGGUCCUCGGCACCA
rnacentral:tRNA from 1 species